ensembl:Y_RNA Y_RNA Y RNA
GGCUGGUCCAAAGGGAGUGUGUUAUCUCAACUGAUUCUUCACAGUCGGUCACAGGUAAACUCCUGUCCUAUACUUUCCCUCUUCUCACUACUGCUUUUGACUAGAGAUA